rnacentral:rRNA from 1 species
CCUACGGGGGACAGCAGUGGGGAAUAUUGCGCAAUGGGCGAAAGCCUGACGCAGCGACGCCGCGUGAGGGAUGAAGGUCUUCGGAUCGUAAACCUCUGUCAGCAGGGAAGAACGGUCACUGUGCUAAUCAGCAGUGAAUUGACUGUCCCUGCAAAGUAAGCACCGGCUAACUCCGUGCCAGCAGCCGCGGUAAUACGGAGGGUGCGAGCGUUAAUCGGAAUUCCUGGGCGUAAAGCGCUCGUAGGCGGUAUGGCAAGUCAAGGGUGAAAUCCCCGCGCUCCACGGGGGAACUGCCUUUGAAACUGGAAAACGGGAGGGGGUGAGAGGAGAGUGGAAUGCCAGGUGUAGGAGUGAAAUCCGUAGAUAUCUGGAGGAACAUCAGUGGCGAAGGCGACUAUCUGGCACAUAACUGACGCGGAGGAGCGAAAGCGUGGGUAGCAAAAAGGAUUAGAUACCCGAGUAGUA